AUUGAACGCUGGCGGCAGGCUUAACACAUGCAAGUCGAGCGAGCGGCGGACGGGUGAGCAAUGUCUGGGAAACUUCCUGAGGGAGAGGGUUAACUACUGGGCACGGUAGCUAAUACCGCAUUCCAUCGGCUGUGCCCAAAUGGGAUUAGCUAGUAGGUGGGGUAAUGGAUCACCAAGGCGAGGAUCCCUAGCUGGUCUGAGAGGAGGACCAGCCACACUGGAACUGAGACACGGUCCAGACUCCUACGGGAGGCAGCAGUGGGGAAUAUUGCACAAUGGGUGCAAGCCUGAUGCAGCCAUGCCGCGUGUGUGAAGAAGGCCUUCGGGUUGUAAAGCACUUUAAGCGAGGAGGCGUUACUCGCAGAAGAAGCACCGGCUAACUCCGUGCCAGCAGCCGCGGUAAUAC
rnacentral:rRNA from 1 species